rnacentral:tRNA from 1 species
GGAGAGGUAGCUCAGAAGUUAAGAGCACUGGCUGUUCUUCCAGAAGACCUGGGGUUCGAUUCCCAGCAUCCA